AAACUAUGGAAGGACGGAGGAGACUGGAGCAGAAACUGGAUGAAAUGACUGCAUUGGCUGCUGAGUUGGAAGAGUGUUCCAACAUAACCCGCUUCAGUGAUGUAAUUAAGUUUGAUGCCAAUCGACAUGUCUACUACUUUGCUCACCUAUGGGAUGGCAAUCCCCCAAUGGCUCCUCCCAAUCCUCGCUAUAGCUACAAUGUCCAGGAACUAAGGAAUGAAAUUCUUUCAACUGCCCAGCAGGAAUCUAGGGGAAGGAUCUUGAAAAUAUCAGAUUUCAAAUUCAGAGUUCAAGAUUUGUGGAAAGCCCUUGUCAGUGAAAACUUCAUUUUCAGUUUCAGGAACACCCAAGAGGUCAUAGCCAUGAGCAAACUGGAAACAAAGUAUAAUGAAUGGACCUGGGAGCUAAGGAGUCAUGUACUGGACUUACAGAAUCAGCUUGACAAUCAGAUUCAAAAUGGAAAAAUCCUGACACUCACAUCUAAUUUACUAGAGGAUCCACUUAGCAGGAAACUUAAAACCAUCAAAGAAGAAUUUGACAAAUAUUUUGCAGAAGACCCAGAUUGUGAAAUAUUGGUUCAGUGGAAAGCAAAUUUUGAACACAAGCUACUAAUCCUUAAAGAUGCACUUAUUUCAGACACCAGACGGAAAUGCAAUGAACAUAUCAGUCUUAAAAAAAGCCAAGAAAUACUUGAUAACCAAAAGUCACAAUAUGAAAAGCAGUUGUUAGAGAGGAGCAGAAAGUUAGCUUUAAAUUUGAAGGGUAAGGAAUUAAGUGAUGAAGAGUUGCAGGAGAAAUUCAGUCAACUUUGGACAAGUUGGAUUUAUGAUGUAUCUUCCAAUGUUCCUCAUGUCACAGAGCCUAACAUUGAUUUGGACUCUGAAAAUAUCCUUCUGGAAUAUUUCAAGAAGGACAAAAAUAUUGAGGAAAGACUAAAAAUAAAGUCUAGAGAAAAGUUUGAAAUCAUGUAUGACAAACAUAUUCAAAUGAAAAAGAAAUACCUUUUACUUAGAAAGAGUUUAGAAACCUGUCAUGUUGAAUCCAUCAAAAAGACAACCAACAACAUUCAGUUAAAAUUUACAGAAACACUUACAAACAUUUGGAAGCAAAAGCAUGAUUACAGUCACAAUUACUUUCAUGAAAUCUUGAAGAUCAUAGAAAAUGAGCUGAAAUCUGAACCCUGUGAGGGAGACUACACAUUUACCAGAGACUAUGUCUUUGACUUAUCCUUGUACUUAUUCCAAAGAGCAUCCAAGGAUUUCAAGAAAAUGCACGAGGCAUUCAAGACUGCAAAUGACCCUGUGAACUAUCUGGAGAGAAAGAAAGAUGAUUUCUUUAUGAGUUUUAAGAUCUCCUGCCAAGGUGCCACUUCAAUCACUUCCUUUGUUGACUUCCUAUGGCUCAAGCUCAGUCCUGCUAUCUCUGCCAGCAUACGGAAAAUAAUGGUUCAAAAAAUAGCUGGAGACAUGCGAGCCACCUGCCCUGAAUUCAAUGGAAACAGAGCUAACCUGGAGAAACAUAUUCUCUACUCUCUAGCAGAAGAAGAAAAUUUUGAUAAAUACUGGAAAUACAUUCAAAGGCCAGAGGAAUUUUUCAGGGAUUAUAUUAGAGACCACAUUAAAAGAUACUGUUCAGAAAAAGAGAGUGAAAAAAUAAAAACUUUUUUAAACAUAAGUUUAGGUGACAUCAAGAAUACCAUCCUGUCUGCCAUUCAUAAGUCCACAAAGGUAGCUAAAGCUAAAGGCAGCACUGCAUCUGGCUGGCUGGAUUUGUUCUGUGACCACCUAGGGAGCAACCUGGUCUUCCCAAGGAGAGACCUGGUAAACAUAGAGCACCAGGAGCUAAUGGAUACUGAGUUCCUCAAAGAAGCCAUGAGCAAAGCUUUGGAUCCUGCAAUGAGGGAAAUAGAAGAGGAUUGUUCAAGUAAGCACAUAGAUGAAAUUGUUCCUGACAUUGAGGAAAUUCUCUCUGAACAUCUCUGUGGCUGUUGGAAACAGUGUCCUUUUUGUAAGGCAAUUUGUACAAACACCAUUCCCCAGCAUGAAGGAGACCACAGUGUGCCAUUCCACCGUCCUCAGGCUGUCAGUGGUUGGCAUUGGCAUAAAACAGACCAGUUCGACAUUAAUGUUUGUACUAGUAAUGUAGCAAGUAAUAUUUGCUUCAUUUUAAAUGACCGCUGGAGAUACAAAUACAAGAAAUAUCGAGACGCAGGAGGUGAUUAUGCCACAUGGAGCAUCACCCCAGACUCAUCUACCCAGCCAUAUUGGAAAUGGUUUGUCUGUCAUUUCAGAUCAAAGCUAGAACACAAUUAUGGCAAAAAAUUUACAGGGAAAGGUAGUAUUCCAGAUUUAUGGACCAAAAUCACAAAGCAAGAAGUCCUGAAUGACUUAAAAAAAUAAUAACUGCCACAGACAGAACACUAGAUGGGCUACAGAAAUUUUACUUCAGCCAAGGGAGCCUAAUGGAGAACACCAUGCAGGAGGAUCUGCAGUAGACAUUUGAGCUUCCUCGAGAUGGCCCACUCUAUUGGGCAAUUUUUCUGCAGACCAAUAUGAAGUUAAACUUUCAUAAAAUAAGACUGUUUAGAUGAAUUAAUGAUUUUAUAGAAUUUCUGAAUUGAUUUAAAUAGUUUUAGGCACUAGGGUUAAUGAUAGAAAGUUUAAGGAGAUGGCUUAAUUUGUUCUGCUAAAUAGAUAUGAUAAAGUUAGAAUUAAGAGCAGAAUGUGACCUUUCCCUUGUAGGAUAAUGAGAGCUACAUAGGUUUGAAAAGGAGUACAGUGAGCUUUCAUGUACUGCAAGUAUGUGAUUGUACUUGGAAGAAGAAAAUAGGCUUGGGACAAGUUAAUGCUCAAAACAUUCAUUCUAGGUUGGGUCUGAGUUCCUGGAUUUUGUGAUCUAGAGACAUAGUCACAGGUUUUGGUGGGCACCAUAAAAAGGCAAGGUAAUGAACAAGGAGUAAAUAAUUCGAUUAUUAGUAUAGAAUAGAGAAUAGAUGAUUAUCCAGUCUUGCUGAACAAGACUUCAAAAAUAAGAUGUAAGAGGGAUUGUUUCUUUGUAAAUACAGAUUGAUCAUCAUCUAAGCAUAUGGAAAACUCGCUACUGUAGACUUGGCUUGCUUAAACAUUGUUAAUCAAUAACAAAAGAAGUAUGGCUUUAGGUUUGCUAUGGAGAAAAAGAUGAGAGAACGUUAGAUGAGAAAUGCUUAGGUAUGAGUUUCAAAAGAGAAAUACACAAUCAAUACUCCUGUUGUAAUCUCCUCUUGUGUGAUGAUUUUAUUGUCUUAUUGAAGAACAUGUGUUUUGUGAUUGUUUUUAGAAAACUUGCACUCAUGGCUAUGAGGUAAUUUUUGUCAGACAUAGAGAACUUUGUCUUAGAUGGUGUUAAAAGGCUAAGAGAAAAAUAAAGUUGUUAGAGCUCA